rnacentral:rRNA from 1 species
GAUGAACGCUGGCGGCGUGCCUAAUACAUGCAAGUCGAGCGAACAGACGAGGAGCUUGCUCCUCUGACGUUAGCGGCGGACGGGUGAGUAACACGUGGAUAACCUACCUAUAAGACUGGGAUAACUUCGGGAAACCGGAGCUAAUACCGGAUAAUAUAUUGAACCGCAUGGUUCAAUAGUUAAAGACGGUUUUGCUGUCACUUAUAGAUGGAUCCGCGCCGCAUUAGCUAGUUGGUAAGGUAACGGCUUACCAAGGCAACGAUGCGUAGCCGACCUGAGAGGGUGAUCGGCCAAACUGGAACUGAGACACGGUCCAGACUCCUACGGGAGGCAGCAGUAGGGAAUCUUCCGCAAUGGGCGAAAGCCUGACGGAGCAACGCCGCGUGAGUGAUGAAGGUCUUCGGAUCGUAAAACUCUGUUAUUAGGGAAGAACAAAUGUGUAAGUAACUAUGCACGUCUUGACGGUACCUAAUCAGAAAGCCACGGCUAACUACGUG